rnacentral:misc_RNA from 1 species
UGACACUGGCUGCUGACAAAGAUUCA